rnacentral:rRNA from 1 species
AGCGUAGGCGGGCUUCUAAGUUAGGUGUUUAAUCCCGGGGCCCAACCCCGGUCGUGCACCUAAAACUGGGAGUCUUGAAUAGGGGAGAGGUCAGUGGAAUUGGAGGUGUAGCGGUGGAAUGCGUAGAGAUCUCCAAGAACACCAGUUGCGAAGGCGGCUGACUGGACCCAUAUUGACGCUGAGGCUCGAAAGCAUGGGGAGGCAAAACA